rnacentral:rRNA from 1 species
USCUACUUGCGGCCGCCACGCGGGAUUAUGUACNUUCAGCUUGCGCAACCGGGUUGCACUAACYUGCACGAACGUGCCCUGAACUGCAACCAAAUUGGUCGCUCACCGCCUGCCCACUCAUUGNGCAUCCAUUGNACGGGUUUUCSCCCCCUAUUGUAAACCUUUGUCUACGAUUAGGGCGUAUUGUUAAACUUAGCGUACUAAGUUUAAAUUUUCNACCAAAGCCGAUAGAGAAACCCCACCGGACGCCGCGUAACCCAACAACCAUCCCAUUGCCGGAUGUUUCCAACACUACGCAUCGGCUCAACUCCGACUAGCCGGUGUACCGACCGUGCCAGGGUAUGAGAUGCCCCCGGCGUCACCCUUAAAGGUGUUACCCRCGU